GUUGCUGUCUUGUAGGCUCUGCCUAAAGAGAGGAGAGAGAUGGAGAGAUGUGGAGAGAGAAAUGAGGGGAGAGUAAGAGGAGAGAGAGAGAGAGAGCGCCAGAGAGAGAGAGAAGAGAGUUGUACAGAUGGACCCGAUGCAGUGACUGACUGGCACGCAGACACACACUUUUUGUUUGCUGCACAUAAUCUGCCCAAUGACGCGUGACAGCCCACGUCCCCUCCCUUUAACUCUUUGCUGGGCUGGCGCUCCCUCCGGCGCUGCCUGCCUGGAAGCGAUCUCUCCGGCCUGCCCGCGCCCCGCUGCCCCUGAGCGCCUGCCCCAAGUGGAAACGCCUCUCAGAGCGCGGCCCUGCCCGCCUCCUCCUAAAGCCUCGGCCCUCUGGGACUGCAGCCCUGGUCAGCCUCCCCACAUAAGUUCCUUCUGAUCGGACAGAGCCCCUUGCCUAGGAUUAAGCUGGGACUUGGAGAAAGAAGAGUUGCAAGAUCCUCAUAUACCAGGGAGGAAGGGGAGAAUUCUUCCUGAAUUUCCAGAUCCUGGCUCAUCCCCCUCUAAUCAUAUCACCAAAGCACGACACAAACACAAACACACACACACACACACACACACACACACACACACACACACGUAUAUUUACAUAUUCACACUGGAAGACAAGAGGAUGCCAAAGAAGCAGACAGACAGUGGAGAAUUUUUCCUAAACUUAUUAAUUUCCCACAGGGAGGUCUCUGGAAAGGGCUUAUGAGGAGACUGGGGGAGGCAGAGAGUAACUUCAUGGAGGGGUAUUGCAUUGUCUAGCCUCACCAUGGAGAGUAAGGAACUUUCUAAGGGAUAACUUAGAGCCAAGAAGAGGCAGACUUGCUGAGCUGAAUAAAGGUUUACGUGGAUGGGGAGGGGGCACUUUGUUUUUAAUAAGUAUACAUGGCAAUCCCAUUGUGGGCCUGUUCCUUAGCAAGGAUUACAGUGGGUUCAAUAGCUGAUAAAUGAAUUAAUCUUUCCUAGGCUCAUUCUGGGCCAGCCAGAGAUGCAAAAGAUGGAUAAGAUUAUAGCCAGGGUCCCAACUGCUGGGAUCAUUACUCCUGACACAUUUUUCUCUCUUUCUCAAUCAAUGUUAACUGUUUUUCAUGCUGCUGCUACUACUGUAACUAUUGUCAUCAUGGUUAUAACCUACCUUUCUCAAGUUUAAAACCUUCUAUCUGAGGGAUCUCAAGUUCCACUUGCCCUUCUGCUGGAGUUCAGCUUUGAGCUGGAUAGUCUUUGAGAGCUUUGUUUAAUUCAUUUUCUCUCCUGGAUCUAAGUUGUAGUCAACUGGCUUAAUGGCUUCUGGGUAUGACUUCUAGCAGGACAAACUGGUGCUAUUGAAAGCACCACAGGUCUGAAAUCAAUGUCUCAUGCGGUGACAAAGUAACCUGUGAGCCAGAUCUAAUAUCCAGCAUCCUGACCCCCUGGACUCUCCCAGAUUUUGUACCCCUCUCCAGAUGAAUGGCUAGAGAUCUGGCAAGGAAUUUUCUAUCAAAUCUGCAGGUUACAAAGUCCUUCCCAGAAUUAUACAUACAGUCUUUGAAUAUCUCUUAGUAGGAGGGGUAGGGUAGGAGGAAGGAAAUGUAGGCAGUCAGCCACUCUGAGACUCCUUGCCCUCUGGGCCAGGCUCUCUAGGGAGACUGGGGCCGAAGGGGUGUCCAGUAGUCUCAAGUGGGAGGGAGCAUCAGAUUUUGAGAAGACUGAUUCUAGGCUGUGGGAAUGUCAUCAAGGUGAGAGGCUCUACAUCAGAUUUCUUUACAAAGCCAGGAAAAGGGACAUUAUCCCAAUACCUGGUACCUGAAUGUCUAGUUCCUGAGUUAAAA